rnacentral:rRNA from 1 species
AUUGAACGCUGGCGGCAUGCUUUACACAUGCAAGUCGAACGGCAGCACAGGGAGCUUGCUCCUGGGUGGCGAGUGGCGAACGGGUGAGUAAUGUAUCGGAACGUGCCUGGUAGUGGGGGAUAACUACUCGAAAGAGUGGCUAAUACCGCAUGAGAUCUUUGGAUGAAAGCGGGGGACCUUCGGGCCUCGUGCUACUGGAGCGGCCGAUAUCAGAUUAGGUUGUUGGUGGGGUAAAGGCCUACCAAGCCUGCGAUCUGUAGCUGGUCUGAGAGGACGACCAGCCACACUGGGACUGAGACACGGCCCAGACUCCUACGGGAGGCAGCAGUGGGGAAUUUUGGACAAUGGGCGCAAGCCUGAUCCAGCAAUGCCGCGUGCAGGACGAAGGCCUUCGGGUUGUAAACUGCUUUUGUACAGAACGAAAAGUCUCUGGCUAAUAUCUAGAGAUCAUGACGGUACUGUAAGAAUAAGCACCGGCUAACUACGU